rnacentral:rRNA from 2 species
CUUGCUCCCUGAUGUUAGCGGCGGACGGGUGAGUAACACGUGGGUAACCUGCCUGUAAGACUGGGAUAACUCCGGGAAACCGGGGCUAAUACCGGAUGCUUGUUUGAACCGCAUGGUUCAAACAUAAAAGGUGGCUUCGGCUACCACUUACAGAUGGACCCGCGGCGCAUUAGCUAGUUGGUGAGGUAACGGCUCACCAAGGCAACGAUGCGUAGCCGACCUGAGAGGGUGAUCGGCCACACUGGGACUGAGACACGGCCCAGACUCCUACGGGAGGCAGCAGUAGGGAAUCUUCCGCAAUGGACGAAAGUCUGACGGAGCAACGCCGCGUGAGUGAUGAAGGUUUUCGGAUCGUAAAGCUCUGUUGUUAGGGAAGAACAAGUACCGUUCGAAUAGGGCGGUACCUUGACGGUACCUAACCAGAAAGCCACGGCUAACUACGUGCCAGCAGCCGCGGUAAUACGUAGGUGGCAAGCGUUGUCCGGAAUUAUUGGGCGUAAAGGGCUCGCAGGCGGUUUCUUAAGUCUGAUGUGAAAGCCCCCGGCUCAACCGGGGAGGGUCAUUGGAAAC